rnacentral:rRNA from 1 species
CCUACGGGGGGCAGCAGUGGGGAAUAUUGGACAAUGGGCGCAAGCCUGAUCCAGCCAUGCCUCGUGAGUGAUGAAGGCCUUAUGGUUUUAAAUCUCUUUUGUCCUUGACGAUAAUGACGGUACCGUAAGAAUAAUCCCCUGCUAACUUCGUUCCAGCAGCCUCGGUAAUACGAAGGGGGCUAGCGUUGCUCGGAAUCACUGGGCGUAAAGGGCGCGUAGGCGGCCAUUUAAGUCGGGGGUGAAAGCCUGUGGCUCAACCACAGAAUUGCCUUCGAUACUGGGUGGCUUGAGUACGGAAGAGGUUGGUGGAACUGCGAGUGUAGAGGUGAAAUUCGUAGAUAUUCGCAAGAACACCGGUGGCGAAGGCGGCCAAAUGGUAAGGAACUGAAGCUGAGGAGCGAAAGCGUGGGGAGCAAACAGGAUUAGAUACCCCUGUAGUC